AAAGUCGUAACAAGGUUUCCGUAGGUGAACCUGCGGAAGGAUCAUUGCAGAAAGGGGCCGUGUGGAGUUGUGUGUGCGAGCAUGCAAUGCACAUGGCCCAACACUUGUUCGGGGCAUCAUUGCCUCUUACAUUUACCGCGUGUGUGUCUGACUGAAUGUGUCGCAUAUAUAAACAAUGACAACUUUUAACAAUGGAUCUCUUGGCUCCU
rnacentral:misc_RNA from 1 species